AGAUUGAACGCUAGCGGGAUGCUUUACACAUGCAAGUCGAACGGCAGCGCGGACUUCGGUCUGACGGCGAGUGGCGAACGGGUGAGUAAUGCAUCGGAACGUGCCCAGUCGUGGGGGGAUAACGCAGCGAAAGCUGUGCUAAUACCGCAUACGAUCUACGGAUGAAAGCGGGGGACCGAAAGGCCUCGCGCGAUUGGAGCGGCCGAUGUCAGAUUAGCUAGUUGGUGGGGUAAAGGCCCACCAAGGCGACGAUCUGUAGCUGGUCUGAGAGGACGACCAGCCACACUGGAACUGAGACACGGUCCAGACUCCUACGGGAGGCAGCAGUGGGAAUUUGGACAAUGGGCGCAAGCCUGAUCCAGCAAUGCCGCGUGCAGGAAGAAGGCCUUCGGUUGUAACUGCUUUGUACGGAACGAAACGGUCUGGUUAACACCGUCGGCUAAGUGACGGUACGUAAGAA
rnacentral:rRNA from 1 species